GCGGCGUGCUUAACACAUGCAAGUCGAACGAUGAAGCCUUUCGGGGUGGAUUAGUGGCGAACGGGUGAGUAACACGUGGGCAAUCUGCCCUGCACUCUGGGACAAGCCCUGGAAACGGGGUCUAAUACCGGAUGACACUCUUUCUCGCAUGGGGAAGGGUUGAAAGCUCCGGCGGUGCAGGAUGAGCCCGCGGCCUAUCAGCUUGUUGGUGGGGUGAUGGCCUACCAAGGCGACGACGGGUAGCCGGCCUGAGAGGGCGACCGGCCACACUGGGACUGAGACACGGCCCAGACUCCUACGGGAGGCAGCAGUGGGGAAUAUUGCACAAUGGGCGAAAGCCUGAUGCAGCGACGCCGCGUGAGGGAUGACGGCCUUCGGGUUGUAAACCUCUUUCAGCAGGGAAGAAGCGCAAGUGACGGUACCUGCAGAAGAAGCACCGGCUAACUACGUGCCAGCAGCCGCGGUAAUACGUAGGGUGCGAGCGUUGUCCGGAAUUAUUGGGCGUAAAGAGCUCGUAGGCGGCUUGUCGCGUCGGAUGUGAAAGCCCGGGGCUUAACCCCGGGUCUGCAUUCGAUACGGGCAGGCUAGAGUGUGGUAGGGGAGAUCGGAAUUCCUGGUGUAGCGGUGAAAUGCGCAGAUAUCAGGAGGAACACCGGUGGCGAAGGCGGAUCUCUGGGCCAUUACUGACGCUGAGGAGCGAAAGCGUGGGGAGCGAACAGGAUUAGAUACCCUGGUAGUCCACGCCGUAAACGUUGGGAACUAGGUGUUGGCGACAUUCCACGUCGUCGGUGCCGCAGCUAACGCAUUAAGUUCCCCGCCUGGGGAGUACGGCCGCAAGGCUAAACUCAAAGGAAUUGACGGGGGCCCGCACAAGCAGCGGAGCAUGUGGCUUAAUUCGACGCAACGCG
rnacentral:rRNA from 1 species